rnacentral:rRNA from 1 species
AUUGAACGCUGGCGGCAUGCUUUACACAUGCAAGUCGAACGGUAACAGGGAGCUUGCUCCGCUGACGAGUGGCGAACGGGUGAGUAAUGCGUCGGAACGUGCCGAGUAGUGGGGGAUAACGCAUCGAAAGGUGUGCUAAUACCGCAUACGAACUGAGGUUGAAGGUGGGGGACCUUCGGGCCUCACGCUAUUCGAGCGGCCGACGUCUGAUUAGCUAGUUGGUGAGGUAAAGGCUCACCAAGGCGACGAUCAGUAGCGGGUCUGAGAGGAUGAUCCGCCACACUGGGGCUGAGACACGGCCCAGACUCCUACGGGAGGCAGCAGUGGGGAAUUUUGGACAAUGGGCGCAAGCCUGAUCCAGCCAUGCCGCGUGUCUGAAGAAGGCCUUCGGGUUGUAAAGGACUUUUGUCCGGGAGCAAAUGCUGGUGGCUAACAUCCACCGGAGCUGAGAGUACCGGAAGAAUAAGCACCGGCUAACUACGUGCCAGCAGCCGCGGUAAGAC